rnacentral:rRNA from 1 species
GACAGAGGGUGCAAACGUUGUUCGGAAUUACUGGGCAUAAAGCGCACGUAGGUGGUCCGCUAAGUCGCGUGUGAAAUCCCCCGGCUCAACCGGGGAAAUGCGCGUGAUACUGUCGGGCUUGAGAUCGGGAGGGGUGAAUGGAACUCCAGGUGGAGCGGUGAAAUGCGUAGAUAUCUGGAGGAACACCGGUGGCGAAAGCGGUUCACUGGCCCGACACUGACACUGAGGUGCGAAAGCUAGGGUAGCAAACGGG